ensembl:lncRNA
AAAAAGAAGAAAUUAAGAACUUUAAACACUAAAGUGAGUGUGAAAUGUAAAGUAAUCCGGUUUUAAACAACAAAAAUGCUAAAAUCAACAUUGUUUAAUGAAACAGUUUUAUAGUUAUGUAAUAUUUCUUUGUGUUAGACAAGUUAUGCAAGUCAGUGAAUCAUUCGGUUGCCUUUAGUAGCUAGCGAAUUGUUGCUCAGUCUUCUCACUUUGUGCAGUGUGUUUGUGGCGUAUGUGCUGUAGACAUCACAAAUGAUCAUGAACGGUGACUAAUGAGUGCUGAGAAACCCCCACUCCACCUUUCCCACCCCUACAUGCCACAGAAACUUUGUUUGCAGCCCCCUUUCACACUUACAAACCACAACAGCCCCGUGGAAUCCUUCAACCGGUCACCAGAAGCAAGCAGCACAACUCACACACUUGGCCAGUCUCACAGUUAGGUCAAAGAUGACCUUACUUUGUGCAUGAACACCUUUCCAAACUCAGGUGCUACAUCAAACAAGUCACAUUACUGAGAUGUCACAUGACACAGCAAGUGACAAGACAAAAUGGAAGUCACAUAAAAGGACAAACAAGCAGCCUCCAUCAGUCUGAUCAAAGGAUCUCAGAAAUAUCUUCUUAUCCCCUUCUUUCAGAUUCAUGGUGAGUUUCCCUAAAAUCUCAUUUGCAUGCACCUGAUUGGUGGUUAAACAGUCACUGUUUUAGGCCUCUCAGAAACAUAUAUUCACAUUUUGAAAGAAACUUCAGAGAGAUGCCAUCAGUAUCAAUGUGCUUUGAAUUAUAAUACAUAAAAUAAUGUAUUACUUUCAGUCUCCCCUCCCCCCAUUUUUUUGUUUUUAAUUAAUGCUGCUUUGAAAUCUCCAAAAUAACAAAUUGUGUAGUUCAAAACAGUAAUACAAUGUUUUAGUAAUGAGUUUGAAUCCUGGGGAACACAUGAACUGAUAAAAUGUAUAGUUUGAAUGUGAUGUAAGUUGCUUAAAGCAUCUGUCAAAUGUGUAAAUGUCAGUCUGACAUCAGAGGCCGAAUUAAAUCAGACAUCGGUUAAAUUCUGAAUUAAACAAGAAGGUAGCAUUCCUUUAGCUCAAACAGUGGAUAAUGAGUCUUGCAACACCGAGGUUCAAUUUCCAAGGAAUGCAUGAAUGAUAAAAUGUAUACAUUGGAUGCAAAGUCGCUUUGGAUAAAGGCAUCUGCCAAAUACAUAAAUGUAAAUACCUACAUUUAAAUAUACAAAACAAAUGCAAGAAGUGACUGAAAUGAAAAGAAGCGACUGUGGAAGUUAUGGCAGAGUGAAUGGUUCGAUUCUUGUUUAAGUCCAACUUCGGUCAAUUCCUUUUUCUAUUCCUAAAAUAAGGUUCUCCUUCUCUCACUCCUACUUUCCUGUCCAUAUUAAAGGUUAAAAGAAUUAGUAAACACAUGUGCGUCAUUAUCCCAAUUCAGGUU